CGCAAUCUUGUUGAGGAGACACAGGGGACUGGAACUUGCUUUCCCACUCGAGCUAUGAAGACGGGCACAGAAUCACCUUCUGUUGGAACUGUUCAUAAUGGCUUAGGUCUUCACAGAGAGUUUUCUUCAAGAGAAAACUCAAUGUUCUUUUCCUCAUUCCCAUGGACUUCAGAUGCCAACUUGGAGACCUACUUGACUGAGAUGACACACAAGUUGGAACAAAAUAUAAGUAUGGAACUACAAGAAGGUCUUGCUGAAUUAGAAUCUGGAUGCUCUUCUCUAGAAAAGCUUCUCCUCUAGGAUCCAUUGAUGAGGCAGAUAUAAAUCAAGAUAUACUUUGGACAGCAUCAUCACAAU